rnacentral:rRNA from 1 species
UGGCGACCGGCGCACGGGUGCGUAACGCGUAUGCAACCUACCUUUAACAGGGGGAGUAACACUGAGAAAUUGGUACUAAUACCCCAUAAUAUCAUAGAAGGCAUCUUUUAUGGUUGAAAAUUCCGAUGGUUAGAGAUGGGCAUGCGUUGUAUUAGCUAGUUGGUGGGGUAACGGCUCACCAAGGCGACGAUACAUAGGGGGACUGAGAGGUUAACCCCCCACACUGGUACUGAGACACGGACCAG